AAUUGGGCAAAGCAAAGGAAACUUUGUGACGCAAAGCUAUAGGGCCUAAGAAGUGAAAUUUAUGGUAGCCAGUUGCAG
rnacentral:ncRNA from 1 species